CAAUUUUGUUGAGCUAAUGUUAACACAAUCCAAACUAAGACAACGCUAAGUGUAUCCAAAAAAAUUCAGGGCAAUGAUUUAGUAGAAACAUGUAAACGUGCAUCACGUGAUUAUAAUUAACAUUGCAUCAUUAAUGUUUCAAUCUUAAGACACUCAAAUUUUAUUUUAAAUUUACUGAUUAUGUGUCCAUCUGCAUUUUAUAACCCAUAAUUCCAAAAACUCAAGUACGCAUCUGUAAUGUCUGAGUCCUUUCCAAAACCCAAAAAAAUGAUGAUAAGGAGUUGUUCCAGAUUUUGAUGGUGGUGGUGGUUUAGUCAUUUCUCUGUCUUGGAAUUUUUUGAAGGGAACUGAAGAAGCUCGAGAAAGCGCUGGUGUUGAUGGUAACUAGCUCGCUGCUAGGGGUGGAGUUUGUAUGGAGUCUAUGGACUGAACUGGUGUUGGUGAAUUAGUGUUUGGAGAGGGAGCUGGUAACGAAGUUAAUCCAAUAAUUGGUUGUUUGUGAUUUUGUUGCAGGUAAGGUAUACGGAUAUUUUGCUAGUGCAGGAAAAGUUAUAGGACAAACUCUAAAGGUAUCUAAACACGAAAAGAACAAGAAACCUAGAGGUAGAGAUCACAAGAGGAUGCAAUACAACAGAAGUUUUGUUACUGAAAUCCAAUCAUUUGGAUCUUUCUUUCAUUUAUUGAGGGAACUGAAGGAGCUCGAGAAAGCGCUGGUGUUGAUGGUAACUAGCUCGCUGCUAGGGGUGGAGUUUGUAUGGAGUCUAUGGACUGAAGUCGCUGAACUGGUGUUGGCGAAUUAGUGUUUGGAGAGGGAGCUGGUGCUGAAGUUUUCUGUGUGCUAUUGAGCUAAUAUCGAACUUGAGAAUUUUAAUGACUUGGAGCAAUUGCAGACCUUACUAACUUGCUAAAGAAAUGCAAUUGUUAUUUAGAAAAAGAAGCUUUUCCAUCUACGAUAGAGUCUUCAAGACCUGGACUGCAGCUUGAACGAUAACUGUAUGGUUCAGCGUCAAAUCAUUGCUUGGGGUUUCCAGAGUCUUUAGCUCUUAAAGAAGGGAUAUCUGAGAGGUUCUCGACCAUGUUAGUGCUGAUUCCCUUGCAUUUAAUCAUGCAAUCAACUUCUUGAGGAUUGUUUUUGUAGUUCUUGGAUGUAAGAUAUGAUUGAGGACCACAUUCUCACCAAGUAUGAUGAGUAGUAACUUGAGUGUUCUAAUGAGGAAGAUAGAUGAAUACUAGUGAUUGAAUGAGUAAUAUGGAAAUGGAUAACCACUUGAUAAACACCAGCAGUGAUUCCAUCAACGUCUAGAUCUUGGUGCAGUCCGCGGCAAUUUCUUUCAGUUCUCCAACUCUUUGAAAAUAAAAACGGAGAUUAUGUACUUCGUGCUGAUGAAGACGCGGGUAGGGAAGGUCUACUUGGUGCAUUUGGAUUCCUGAAAGGUCUACAGGUGUGUUGUUCUGGAAUUGUUGGCUCAGUUCAUCAUCCGGCAGGAUCUCGUUUUGCUGGUUUGCAGUUGUCUUUAUGAACCUUAGAAAGAAUUUAGAUAUACGAUUUGUAUGAAUUCAGGACUUGAUUAUUGUGAUUUUGAGCCCAAGUGUAAAGUUAUGAAUUGUGCAACCAAUACAAUGUUUUUUGUUUUUAAAUGGCAUUUUGAAUUUAUAAA